rnacentral:rRNA from 1 species
GACGAACGCUGGCGGCGUGCUUAACACAAGCAAGUCGAACGGAAAGGCCUGCUUUCCCUUGUGGAUUGCGGGUACUCGAGUGGCGAACGGGUGAGUAACACGUGAGUGAUCUGCCCCCAACUUGGGUAUAAGCCUGGGAAACUGGGUCUAAUUCCCGAUAGGACUGCAGGGUGGUGCCUGUGGUGGAAAACGAUUUUCUAGUGGUUGGGGAUGAGCUCGCGGCCUAUCAGCUUGUUGGUGGGGUAAUGGCCUACCAAGGCGGCGACGGGUAGCCGGCCUGAGGGGGUGGACGGCCACAUUGGGACUGAGAUACGGCCCAGACUCCUACGGGAGGCAGCAGUGGGGAAUAUUGCACAAUGGGCGGAAGCCUGAUGCAGCGACGCCGCGUGGGGGAUGACGGCCUUCGGGUUGUAAACUCCUUUCGACCGCGAGGAAGCCACCUGGUUGGAAGGGUGGUGACGGUAGUGGUAGAAGAAGCACCGGCUAACUACGUG